AUGGCAGCUUUGCAAUCAAAUCUCAGAGUUCUUGUUUGUCUUCAUAUAUACUGGUGCACAGAUCCAAGGAGCGACAAUGGCAUUUAUGCAUAGCACCAUAAGCAUGAUCUGCCCCAAAGAAAAACAAAACAAAAAAUAACACCAAUCGCUCAUGCUAAUAUGGUGACCUGAUGAAUUCUUCGGUACGAGUACCAGAGUAUUUGUAUAUAUAUGCACAUAGCAUUUGGGAGUACUUUCACUAUCCCCAUACAAAUAUAUGGAGGUCCCAACUAUC
rnacentral:lncRNA from 1 species